rnacentral:tRNA from 1 species
GGUAAUAUGGCUGAGGUAUAAGCGGUAAAUUGUAAAUUUAUUAACGAAUUAUUUUCUGUUACCA